GGGAAACGUCCCUGAAUAUAGACUAACGCACCAGAGCAGGGAAUCCCUCUAAUCUAUGCUUGGGGAAAUUUCCCCCAACAUAGAUUAGAGGGAUUCACUGCUCUCGAGUUUCCCCGAAUGUAAACAUGCACACCAGAGCAGAGAAUCCCCACGACGUAAAACAGGUAGGUCGCUAAAUGAGCACCACCUGUAUUCAUAAGGUGCAGCAGGGAGCUAAAUUAAUCAAGUCAGUCUCUUUGAGGUUCUAUUAAUUCACUGAUUUUGUUCACCAUAUAGAUUAUAUACAAUGCUGG